rnacentral:rRNA from 1 species
AGAGUUUGAUUCUGGCUCAGAUUGAACGCUGGCGGAAUGCUUUACACAUGCAAGUCGAACGGCAGCACGGGAGCUUGCUCCUGGUGGCGAGUGGCGAACGGGUGAGUAAUGCGUCGGAACGUACCGAGUAAUGGGGGAUAACGCAGCGAAAGCUGUGCUAAUACCGCAUACGCCCUGAGGGGGAAAGUGGGGGAUCGCAAGACCUCACGUUAUUCGAGCGGCCGACGUCUGAUUAGCUAGUUGGUGGGGUAAAGGCCCACCAAGGCGACGAUCUGUAGCUGGUCUGAGAGGACGACCAGCCACACUGGGACUGAGACACGGCCCAGACUCCUACGGGAGGCAGCAGUGGGGAAUUUUGGACAAUGGGCGCAAGCCUGAUCCAGCAAUGCCGCGUGCAGGAAGAAGGCCUUCGGGUUGUAAACUGCUUUUGUACGGAACGAAACGGUCUGGGUUAAUACCUCGGGCUAAUGACGGUACCGUAAGAAUAAGCACCGGCUAACUACGUGCCAGCAGCCGCGGUAAUACGUAGGGUGCAAGCGUUAAUCGGAAUUACUGGGCGUAAAGCGUGCGCAGGCGGAUUGUUAAGCAAGAUGUGAAAUCCCCGGGCUUAACCUGGGAAUGGCAUUUUGAACUGGCAGUCUAGAGUGUGUCAGAGGGGGGGUGGAAUUCCACGUGUAGCAGUGAAAUGCGUAGAUAUGUGGAGGAACACCAAUGGCGAAGGCAGCCCCCUGGGAUAACACUGACGCUCAUGUACGAAAGCGUGGGUAGCAAACAGGAUUAGAUACCCUGGUAGUCCACGCCCUAAACGAUGUCAACUGGUUGUUGGGGGGAGUGAAAUCCCUUAGUAACGAAGCUAACGCGUGAAGUUGACCGCCUGGGGGAGUACGGUCGCAAGAUUAAAACUCAAAGGAAUUGACGG